UAAAUGCUCAGUUAUGAAAAAGAGAGGCUAAGUACUUUAAUAUUUCAAACUGAAAUAAAAAUCCAAAAUAACCGAACCGAAUUUGUAAAAACCGAACCAAACCGAAUUUAUUUCGGUUUGAUUAUAGAUAUCAUUUGUCAAUCCGAAAACCAAUAAAUCAAACUGAUAUUAAACAAUCAAACCGAACCGACCGAACGCCUACCCCUACACGUGCCUAUCUACUUCUUUGCAUGGACUGUUGUCUUUAACCCUGUAGGAUUUUUUAACCCAGUGGUCCUUUGACUGCAUCACUUCAUCUUCUCCGGCGACCACCAAGGUUUUUGACUCACACCAGAUAGGGAUGUGAAAGGUGAUUCUUCAAAGAUGUCUCCUUCUCGAUUUCUAGCCAAUCCCCGCAUUGAUUUUCGAUGGCUUUAAAUACUUUUUUGUCCAAAACUGAAGAGGAAGGCCUAUUGCUCUUACCCAUGUUGAAUUCUCUCGAUGUGUACAACACCCGACUGUCGGCAUCUACUAGUCGAGAUGGAUCUUCAGGUGCUUCCACAUCCACUAUCCAUGAAGAAUAUGCUCCGCCAUGUGUUUGUUGGGAAACUCGAACAGAAAAGAGUGCCCCCACAUCUCGUAUACAUUGAUACCAAAAUCAUUUUUCCAAGUACUCACCGCCCACUUCCUGAUAUCUGUGAGAGUUGGUUUCUCCUUCUCAUCCCCGCUGAAGUUCCCAACUAUACAUCUUCCGAGCAAAUCUUUUUCUGGAUUAACAUCACCACCGGAGACGAAGAUAGAGUUGUUUUUGUUUCAGACUAGGGCUUCCAAUGCCUCCUUUGAUUGCCACUUGCUAGUCUUGACUGAGUCUACAUAAAGGAUCUUUGGAUCUGCCUUCUUGUAACUGUUUGUAAUAAAGGAUCCUUUAUGUUCUUUGAUGAAAUUAUCAAUCUUAAAUGCAAUGUCUCCCCACCCUACAUUUAAUGAUAUUUCUGGAAUAAUAAUGACAGAUCUAUUUCCUUCU